rnacentral:rRNA from 1 species
ACGGAGGCAGCAGUGGGGAAUAUUGCACAAUGGGGGAAACCCUGAUGCAGCGACGCCGCGUGAGCGAAGAAGUAUUUCGGUAUGUAAAGCUCUAUCAGCAGGGAAGAUAAUGACGGUACCUGACUAAGAAGCCCCGGCUAACUACGUGCCAGCAGCCGCGGUAAUACGUAGGGGGCAAGCGUUAUCCGGAUUUACUGGGUGUAAAGGGAGCGUAGACGGCAUAACAAGUCUGAAGUGAAAUGCCGGGGCUCAACCCCGGAACUGCUUUGGAAACUGUUAAGCUUGAGUGCCGGAGAGGUAAGCGGAAUUCCUAGUGUAGCGGUGAAAUGCGUAGAUAUUAGGAGGAACACCAGUGGCGAAGGCGGCUUACUGGACGGUAACUGACGUUGAGGCUCGAAAGCGUGGGGAGCAAACAGGAUUAGAUACCCUGGUA